GACGAACGCUGGCGGCGUGCUUAACACAUGCAAGUCGAACGGUGAAGGGGUCUGCUUUUGUGGGCCCUGGAUGAGUGGCGAACGGGUGAGUAACACGUGAGUAACCUGCCCCCUUCUUCUGGAUAACCGCAUGAAAGUGUGGCUAAUACGGGAUAUUCUGGGUCUGUCGCAUGAUGGGUCUGGGAAAGAUUGCGCCUUUGGGUGUUUUUGGUGGGGGAUGGGCUCGCGGCCUAUCAGCUUGUUGGUGGGGUGAUGGCCUACCAAGGCGGUGACGGGUAGCCGGCCUGAGAGGGUGGACGGUCACACUGGGACUGAGACACGGCCCAGACUCCUACGGGAGGCAGCAGUGGGGAAUAUUGCACAAUGGGCACAAGCCUGAUGCAGCGACGCCGCGUGAGGGAUGGAGGCCUUCGGGUUGUAAACCUCUUUCGCCAGUGAAGCAGGCCUGCUCCUUGUGGGUGGGUUGACGGUAGCUGGAUAAGAAGCGCCGGCUAACUACGUG
rnacentral:rRNA from 1 species